rnacentral:rRNA from 1 species
AUUGAACGCUGGCGGCAGGCCUAACACAUGCAAGUCGAGCGGAUGAAGGGAGCUUGCUCCUGGAUUCAGCGGCGGGCGGGUGAGUAAUGCCUAGGAAUCUGCCUGGUGGUGGGGGAUAACGUCCGGAAACGGGCGCUAAUACCGCAUACGUCCUGAGGGAGAAAGUGGGGGAUCUUCGGACCUCACGCUAUCAGAUGAGCCUAGGUCGGAUUAGCUAGUUGGUGGGGUAAAGGCCUACCAAGGCGACGAUCCGUAACUGGUCUGAGAGGAUGAUCAGUCACACUGGAACUGAGACACGGUCCAGACUCCUACGGGAGGCAGCAGUGGGGAAUAUUGGACAAUGGGCGAAAGCCUGAUCCAGCCAUGCCGCGUGUGUGAAGAAGGUCUUCGGAUUGUAAAGCACUUUAAGUUGGGAGGAAGGGCAGUAAGUUAAUACCUUGCUGUUUUGACGUUACCAACAGAAUAAGCACCGGCUAACUUCGUG